CCUACGGGUGGGCAGCAGUGGGGAAUAUUGCGCAAUGGGCGAAAGCCUGACGCAGCGACGCCGCGUGAGGGAUGAAGGUCUUCGGAUCGUAAACCUCUGUCAGCAGGGAAGAACGGUCACUGUGCUAAUCAGCAGUGCAUUGACGGUACCUGCAAAGGAAGCACCGGCUAACUCCGUGCCAGCAGCAGCGGUAAUAAGGCGGGUGCGAGCGUUAAUCGGAAUUACUGGGCGUAAAGGGCUCGUAGGCGGUAUGUCAAGUCAAGAGUGAAAUGCCCGCGCUCAACGUGGGAACUGCCGUUGAAACUGGCAAACUGGAGUGUGUGAGAGGAUAGUGGAAUGCCAGGUGUAGGAGUGAAAUCCGUAGAUAUCUGGCGGAACACCAGUGGCGAAGGCGACGAUCUGGCACAUCACUGACGCUGAGGAGCGAAAGCGUGGGUAGCAAACAGGAUUAGAUACCCCAGUAGUC
rnacentral:rRNA from 1 species